UUAAGCGACUAAGCGUACACGGUGGAUGCCCUGGCAGUCAGAGGCGAUGAAGGACGUGCUAAUCUGCGAUAAGCGUCGGUAAGGUGAUAUGAACCGUUAUAACCGGCGAUUUCCGAAUGGGGAAACCCAGUGUGUUUCGACACACUAUCAUUAACUGAAUCCAUAGGUUAAUGAGGCGAACCGGGGGAACUGAAACAUCUAAGUACCCCGAGGAAAAGAAAUCAACCGAGAUUCCCCCAGUAGCGGCGAGCGAACGGGGAGCAGCCCAGAGCCUGAAUCAGUGUGUGUGUUAGUGGAAGCGUCUGGAAAGGCGCGCGAUACAGGGUGACAGCCCCGUACACAAAAAUGCACAUACUGUGAGCUCGAUGAGUAGGGCGGGACACGUGGUAUCCUGUCUGAAUAUGGGGGGACCAUCCUCCAAGGCUAAAUACUCCUGACUGACCGAUAGUGAACCAGUACCGUGAGGGAAAGGCGAAAAGAACCCCGGCGAGGGGAGUGAAAAAGAACCUGAAACCGUGUACGUACAAGCAGUGGGAGCCUCUUAAUGGGGUGACUGCGUACCUUUUGUAUAAUGGGUCAGCGACUUAUAUUCUGUAGCAAGGUUAACCGAAUAGGGGAGCCGAAGGGAAACCGAGUCUUAACUGGGCGUUAAGUUGCAGGGUAUAGACCCGAAACCCGGUGAUCUAGCCAUGGGCAGGUUGAAGGUUGGGUAACACUAACUGGAGGACCGAACCGACUAAUGUUGAAAAAUUAGCGGAUGACUUGUGGCUGGGGGUGAAAGGCCAAUCAAACCGGGAGAUAGCUGGUUCUCCCCGAAAGCUAUUUAGGUAGCGCCUCGUGAAUUCAUCUCCGGGGGUAGAGCACUGUUUCGGCAAGGGGGUCAUCCCGACUUACCAACCCGAUGCAAACUGCGAAUACCGGAGAAUGUUAUCACGGGAGACACACGGCGGGUGCUAACGUCCGUCGUGAAGAGGGAAACAACCCAGACCGCCAGCUAAGGUCCCAAAGUCAUGGUUAAGUGGGAAACGAUGUGGGAAGGCCCAGACAGCCAGGAUGUUGGCUUAGAAGCAGCCAUCAUUUAAAGAAAGCGUAAUAGCUCACUGGUCGAGUCGGCCUGCGCGGAAGAUGUAACGGGGCUAAACCAUGCACCGAAGCUGCGGCAGCGACACUAUGUGUUGUUGGGUAGGGGAGCGUUCUGUAAGCCUGUGAAGGUGUACUGUGAGGUAUGCUGGAGGUAUCAGAAGUGCGAAUGCUGACAUAAGUAACGAUAAAGCGGGUGAAAAGCCCGCUCGCCGGAAGACCAAGGGUUCCUGUCCAACGUUAAUCGGGGCAGGGUGAGUCGACCCCUAAGGCGAGGCCGAAAGGCGUAGUCGAUGGGAAACAGGUUAAUAUUCCUGUACUUGGUGUUACUGCGAAGGGGGGACGGAGAAGGCUAUGUUGGCCGGGCGACGGUUGUCCCGGUUUAAGCGUGUAGGCUGGUUUUCCAGGCAAAUCCGGAAAAUCAAGGCUGAGGCGUGAUGACGAGGCACUACGGUGCUGAAGCAACAAAUGCCCUGCUUCCAGGAAAAGCCUCUAAGCAUCAGGUAACAUCAAAUCGUACCCCAAACCGACACAGGUGGUCAGGUAGAGAAUACCAAGGCGCUUGAGAGAACUCGGGUGAAGGAACUAGGCAAAAUGGUGCCGUAACUUCGGGAGAAGGCACGCUGAUAUGUAGGUGAAGUCCCUUGCGGAUGGAGCUGAAAUCAGUCGAAGAUACCAGCUGGCUGCAACUGUUUAUUAAAAACACAGCACUGUGCAAACACGAAAGUGGACGUAUACGGUGUGACGCCUGCCCGGUGCCGGAAGGUUAAUUGAUGGGGUUAGCGGUAACGCGAAGCUCUUGAUCGAAGCCCCGGUAAACGGCGGCCGUAACUAUAACGGUCCUAAGGUAGCGAAAUUCCUUGUCGGGUAAGUUCCGACCUGCACGAAUGGCGUAAUGAUGGCCAGGCUGUCUCCACCCGAGACUCAGUGAAAUUGAACUCGCUGUGAAGAUGCAGUGUACCCGCGGCAAGACGGAAAGACCCCGUGAACCUUUACUAUAGCUUGACACUGAACAUUGAGCCUUGAUGUGUAGGAUAGGUGGGAGGCUUUGAAGUGUGGACGCCAGUCUGCAUGGAGCCGGCCUUGAAAUACCACCCUUUAAUGUUUGAUGUUCUAACGUUGGCCCCUGAUCGGGGUUGCGGACAGUGUCUGGUGGGUAGUUUGACUGGGGCGGUCUCCUCCUAAAGAGUAACGGAGGAGCACGAAGGUUGGCUAAUCCUGGUCGGACAUCAGGAGGUUAGUGCAAUGGCAUAAGCCAGCUUGACUGCGAGCGUGACGGCGCGAGCAGGUGCGAAAGCAGGUCAUAGUGAUCCGGUGGUUCUGAAUGGAAGGGCCAUCGCUCAACGGAUAAAAGGUACUCCGGGGAUAACAGGCUGAUACCGCCCAAGAGUUCAUAUCGACGGCGGUGUUUGGCACCUCGAUGUCGGCUCAUCACAUCCUGGGGCUGAAGUAGGUCCCAAGGGUAUGGCUGUUCGCCAUUUAAAGUGGUACGCGAGCUGGGUUUAGAACGUCGUGAGACAGUUCGGUCCCUAUCUGCCGUGGGCGCUGGAGAACUGAGGGGGGCUGCUCCUAGUACGAGAGGACCGGAGUGGACGCAUCACUGGUGUUCGGGUUGUCAUGCCAAUGGCACUGCCCGGUAGCUAAAUGCGGAAGAGAUAAGUGCUGAAAGCAUCUAAGCACGAAACUUGCCCCGAGAUGAGUUCUCCCUGACUCCUUGAGAGUCCUGAAGGAACGUUGAAGACGACGACGUUGAUAGGCCGGGUGUGUAAGCGCAGCGAUGCGUUGAGCUAACCGGUACUAAUGAACCGUGAGGCUUAACCU
rnacentral:rRNA from 1 species